UCCGCUAAUAGUCGCAUUCCCACCAGGAGCGGUGGGGUCCGCCGCCGGCCAAACGAGAGAAGAAAAAGAAGAGAAAGGAAGAGAGAGAAAGGGAGCCUGCCUUCUCGAACCAGGUCCCAACGGUUCGCGAGCGAGAAGAGAAUCCCUGCCAUUUUCUGCACCCGCUUCCAGGUUUGAGCUGCGUUGGCAAUCAGGGAGGGGGAGGGGAAGAGGGAGAGAGCGGGAGGGCUGGAUCAGAGGGGGAGGGUGUGAGAUGGGGUCCGGAUCUUUCCUCAAGGUGGUGGUCAGCAACAUCGACGUCCUCGCCGGGCCACUAAUUUCACUUGCGUAUCCACUAUACGCUUCUGUUAGAGCAAUAGAGACAAAAUCUUCUGUUGAUGAUCAGCAAUGGCUCACUUACUGGGUGUUGUACUCGUUUAUCACUUUGUUUGAGCUAACUUUUGCUCCAAUUAUUGAGUGGCUUCCUUUUUGGUCAUAUGCAAAGCUGUUCUUCAACUGUUGGUUGGUCUUACCUUGGUUUAAUGGUGCUGCUUAUGUUUACGACCACUUUGUGCGGCCAAUGUUUGUGAAUCGCCAAAUAGUAAACAUAUGGUAUGUCCCAGGAACAGAGAAGCUAAGUAAACCUGAUGAUGUAUUGUCAGCUGCGGAGAGAUAUAUUGAACAAAAUGGGCCAGAAGCAUUUGAGAAGCUCAUCAGCAAGUCCUGUUGCAGUCUACAAAGGCUUCAAAAUCAAGGAGCACGAGGAAAUCGAUCUUGGAGGAGGCAGAGGCCGAAAACAUAGCCAAGGCUGGAAGAGACUCAUGGGGUGAAAAUCCAUUCUACGACAAAAGUUAUCGAUACUAAACUACGUACUUCAUAUCCACUCAGCAGGUUAGCCUAAUCUUUCGUGGAUCACAGCCCGACGACGACUUUUCGACAUUUCUGACUAAAGGGCACCUACUGCUACUAAAUUAUGCUGAGUUCUAAAUUACCGCUACUAAAUUAUGCUGAGUUCUAGAGCAGCUGUGGACUAGUGUAAAUAGGUGCUAGUGUUGAUUAUUUAUGUGAGCUGGUGCAAUAUAGUUGUUACGCGUGUUACUAACACAUUAAAAAUUAGUCUAUGGCUAGAUACAUACCCUGAUUUGCA